CUUUAGGGUACCAUUAAAACGCUCACAGAGACCGUUAGUCUGGGGGUGGUACGGGGAGCUGAGCAGGGUCUUGACACCACAGACCUUCCAUAACUGCUGGGUUAGAUCUGCGGUGAACUGGGUCCCUCGGUCAGAUAGGAUUUCCUGAGGGAAUCCCACUCUGGUGAAUAUCCAGACUAGGGCACUGGCGACAGUGUCAGCCUGGAUAUUCGUCAGAGCGACAGCCUAUGGGUAGCGGGUAGCAUAGUCCACUACUGUAAGAAUAUAUUUCUUACCCGAGGGACUGGGGUUAGGUAGGGGUCCCACUAGGUCGACUGCCACCCGGCUAAACGGUUCCUCG